AUUCCAGCUCCAAUAGCGUAUAUUAAAGUUGUUGCGGUUAAAAAGCUCGUAGUUGGAUUUCUGUUGAGAACGGCUCGUCCUCGCUAUGCGUGUGUAUGUGGUUCGAUCUCGGUAUCCUCCAGGGGUACGUUCUUGCGCUUAGUUGCGUGGGGCGGAAUUCUGGACUUUUACUUUGAGGAAAUUAGAGUGUUCACGGCAGGCAAUCGCGUUGAAUAUAUAUUAGCAUGGAAUAAUAAUAUAGGACCUUGAUUCUAUUUUGUUGGUUUCUAGAAUUUAGGUAAUGAUUAAUAGGGACAAUUGGGGGCAUUUGUAUUAACACGUCAGAGGUGGAAUUCUUGGAUUGCGUUACGACAAACUACUGCGAAAGCAUUUGCCAAGGACGUUUUCAUCA
rnacentral:rRNA from 1 species